GAUCAUCGUCAUCUAGCUCAAGAGGACUAGGUGCAAGGUAUAGGUUUGCCCUUGAUAGGUUUUUCUAUUUUAGGAUAGAUUGUUGUACUGUCAAGGGGGGCUCUCAAGUGAGUAGCUUGAUCGUAUCGUUCGUUGAGAGCUCAAACCAUUUGCAUCCUUGCAUCAUAUUUCUUGGUUCUUGUUUGGUGUUUCUCUUUGUGAGUUUUAGAGCUUAUGGUCAUCUUCAUGACAAACUCGAGUUCAUCGAAAA
rnacentral:lncRNA from 1 species